rnacentral:rRNA from 1 species
AGAGCGAACGCUGGCGGCGUGCUUAACACAUGCAAGUCGAGUGCGCGCCUGUAGCAAUACAGGUGGCGCACGGCGCACGGGUGAGUAACACGUGGGCAAUCUGCCCUCGGAUGGGGGAUAACUCGCCGAAAGGCGAGCUAAUACCGCAUGACAUUCCGGAGACUAUGGUCACUAGAUUCAAAGGCCGCAAGGCCGUCUGAGGAGGAGCCCGCGCCCGAUUAGCUAGUUGGUGAGGUAACGGCUCACCAAGGCUUUGAUCGGUAGCCGGU